ACCAAGACAGAAGCGCGUCUUGGCAAGGCAGCCGGGGAAGCACCAGCCAUGCUUUGGAGAUGUCCCGUCUUCUACGUUUUCAUCUUCUGUACCGGGGUCUCUUUGGAUGUAAGUUUGGAACAAGUUGACCAGAUAACUGUUGUAGCUGGGGCCCGUGCCGUCUUCAACUGCACUGUAACGGGAGGAGACUUGAGGAAGUUUCGAAUGAGCUGGUACAAGAGGAGUGAAGAUAACGCUCUGAUUUUGGUAUACAAACUAAAUAACAAUUCUACUGAGGAUUUCAUGGGCAAUUUCAAAGGGAAAAUUGACAUUUCAGAAAGUCGGUUUAUACUUGACAUUCAAAAGGCAACAACGAAAGACGCCGGGACUUAUUACUGUGGGUCAGAUAUCCACAGUGCUGCAGUUACUGCUUCUAAUCACUUCAAAACAAAGUCUAGGGUCGGUCAGACAAAGGCGGCAGACCCAAUGAGCGACCAUCUCAGGCUGAACUCAGCACCACAUGUGAGAUGGGACCUCCUGAUUGCACUGACAGUCGCCUCUGAUAAGAGGGACUGGAGCGGAGUUGGGGCAAAGCCUGAUCUUUGAAGUUUCUACGCCAGUUGUGGCUAAGAGAAAGAAUCACUAAGAGUUUAUGUGGAGAGACCCACAGGCCCUCAACCUCAGCUUGCCAACAUGGCUUCUUAUCCAAACGGCAAGCUGAUGAGCAGAUUGUCUUCCAUCAUGAGUGCUGUAGCUCACCGGAAGCUUGCCUUGCAGAAACUAGCUAACACAAAGAUUGUUUUCCAUCAGCAUUCUAACCAAAGUUUCCAAAGUGAUCAACACUAGUUUUCACUCUUCCUCUGCAGGGUGAGUAGGGUUGUUUUCUGAAAUGUUUUCGUGAGUUUCAGGUUAAAGGCUUUCUGUCUUGACUGGAGAAGAGCUCUGAGGCCCCAGGGGCACAGGCAGAGAGGGGUAAUACACAUACAGACCUCCUUCUCAGGUUCCUAGAAGAAUCUUGUAAACAGUUAACAGUCACCAUUAUAUGGACUGAGCUGACCAAGAAUCAAAUUAAUAAAAUACGUGGAUUAUCACCUACGAAGGGCUGAGUCUACAGGGUGUGAGGUCCAGAGGAGCCCAGUAAACAGGCUGGUGGGCAGGCACUUAAAGAGGCAAGCAUUCGAGAAUCAUUGGGGACAUAUUCUAGCAGCCAGCAUUUCUUCUGCUCAGAGGUCUUCUCCUUGUGUAAAGAGAAACUUAGCAAGCAUACCUAGAAGAAAUGACUGUGGAAAUUCUAAGUAAGAUCUUGAAAUGCCUUCCAGUCAACAUUCUUUACAAUGCCACCUUCCCACACAUGAUUUAAAAAGCCUCUGAUGGCGUUCAUGGUAUUAGGCUGGGUCAUGAGAAUAGAAAAGGGAAAUUCUUAUCUAGGUGCUUACAGUUUUCUUUAGUAGACCUGGCAUCAGCAAUUACAAAAUUACAAAAGAACACAAAAAUGCAAGGACCAAAUAUGAACAAAUAAUGAUCCAUGUAUGAAAAUGUCAUUUUGAAGCCUGUUACUUAGUAAACUAACUUAAAAUUGAAAAUAUCAAAAUUUUAAAAAUAUAACACAUACUAGCUAUAUAACAAUGAAUAUUACUGAUUUUAUUUGCAAUGCCCUAAGAGUUUGAGAAAGACCAAUUUCUGUGUAAAAGGUUUUCCUAGAACUUUUAGGCUUGAAAGAGUCAAGAUUUGAAUAAAUGAAGAAAGGUUUUUCCCAGUAGGCAUACAAGUUAUUAUUGUAAAUUACCUCAAAAUUUAAAGGCUCAACCUCAAAACAUUCAUUUCAUUGUGCCACAUUCUCUGUGGGUCAGAAAUGCAAGUAUGGUAGCUGGCUCCUCUGGCUCCAGAGUCCUCAUCAGGUUGCAGCUUGAUUAGAAGAUCUACCUUAAGCUCACCCACACAGUAUCGAUAGGUUCGGCUCUCAUCAGGUUACAGCUUGAUUAGAUCUACCUUAAGCUCACCCACACGGUAUCGAUAGCUUGUGCUAGUUAUUUCUGGUUGCUGUGAUAAGACGCCAAGACCAGGACAGCAUAUAAAAGGAAGCAUUUAAUUUGACUCAUAAUUUCAGAGGAUUAGAGUCCAUGAUGGCGGAUCGAAAGAAAAACUGAGAGCUCACAUCUUCAUCCACAACCAUGAGGCAGAGAGAGACAGGGAGGGAGAGAGAGAAGAGAGAGAACUAGGAAUUGCAUAAGUCUUUUGAAACCUUAAAUCCCUUCCCUAGGACCUCUUCCAAGGUCAUACUUCCUAAUCCUUCCCCACUAACUGGUGACCAAAUAUUCACAUACAUGAGCCUAUUGGGCCAUUCUCAUUCAAACCAUCACACAACCUGAGUCCUCAACAGGGGUAUCUCCAUAAAGCUCUUUUUUUUUUAAUUAAUGAAAUCUUUUCAUUUGCUUACAUACCAACCACAGUUUUCCCUCCUCCCUCUCCUCUCAUUCUCUACCCCCUCCCACCUCCCAUCUACCCCCUUCCCAUAUACCCCUCUCCCCAACCACCCUUCUGUCUCCAUUCAGAAAGCGGCAGGCCUCCCAUGAGUGUCAACAAAGGAUGGCACAUCAAGAUGAGGCAGGACCAAGCUCCUCCCCCUGCAUCAAGGCUGGGCAUGGCGACCCAGUAUGAGGACUAAGGCCAGGACUCUGCAGAAGGAGUUGUCUGCAUUAGAAGUCUUUCCACAGUCUAUCUGGGAAGGGACAUUCCACCACUCCCUUAACAGCGGUGAGUGGGUAAGUGAAGCUGCAUUGAAGAAGAAGGGCUACAUCUGCGUAUGAAUACCAAAAACAGCUCACCUUAGCCCACCUACAGUAAGGGACUGGAGCAGAGAGCAUGGAAAGAAAAGUCUAAAAGUUGGUAUAACCGACUUGUUGAAAUGAAAGAUCUCUGGCUAUGAGGCAAGGAGAUGUGAGUUUAUCUUACAGUAGACCAAGACGUUGUUGCACAUAUAAAACACCUUGGGGAAACUGUUUCAAAUAUACGUUCUUGAGCUUGAUGUAGUGUUUCUAAUUCUGGCUUCCCAGGGAAAGGACCACAAUCAAUUAACUACUUGGCUAUGUUUUUGAGGCAAGUUGCCCAUAUGCUGCCUGGCCCAGCCUUUAACUCAUCCUGAUGCUCCUUCUUAACUUCUCAAGCUCUGGGAUUAUCAACACGUACCUCUAUGCUUGAAAAGAGUAUCUUUUCACAGAAAGUGCCCAAGGUGACUUUGAUGCAGGUAAUCCAAAGGCCUGCUGUGAGAGCCCCUGAGUGAUCAGACAAGGAAGAGCUGGGGUUUUGUUUGUUUAGUACAGUGCCUGGGAUUGAACCCAGGGCCUUGCUUCUUGUCUCUUGCCCUGAUUCAGAGAAACAGCCAGCAGCUGUGGUCACUUUACCUCCAGAGCAAUGAUUCUCACUCAAUUCCAUCCUAAUAUUUGAAUCACCUGGGGGAAAUUCUUUGAGACUAUCAGUGUCUGGUAUAUAUUUCCAGAGAUUUUGAUUUAACCAGCAUAUGUGUUCUGGCUUCCAGAAUAACUCAGGUAACUCCUUGCUUCCUGUCCUCUAAGACUGAAAACGACUGGUCUAAGCAAACUCUUCUCGGCAUCCUCCAAACUGAUGUCAUCAGUAUUGCCUAGUUGUUUUUCCAAUUGAGAAAUCCUACAUAUCACCCUGUAUCUACUAAAUCAGAAUCAGAAUCUGUGUUUUAACAAGGUCCCUGGCCGGGCGGUGGUGGCGCACGCCUUUAAUCCCAGCACUCGGGAGGCAGAGGCAGGCAGAUCUCUGGGAGUUCCAGGCCAGCCUGGUCUAUAAGAGCUAGUUCCAGGACAGGCACCAAAGCUACAGAGAAACCCUGUCUCGAAAAAAAAAAAAAAAACAAGGUCCCUGAACAAGUUAUAUUUGACCAUAUAUAAUUCAUAGAUCAUCCACUGAAAUCCAGCCUCUCCUCCCACCAGCUUAAGAUCAAGUUGGAAAUAAAACACGAGUCUUCAGUGCACACUUACUUCUCAUUACAAGAAGAGCAGUAGAGGACAGGAGGAGAGGGCUCACCCAUUCCCUCACAGCAGUGGUUCUCAACCUUCCGAAUGCUGCUGCCCUUUAACACAGCUCCUUAUGCUGCAGUGACCCCCAACCGUAAACCUUUUUUCAGUGCUACUUCAUAGCUGUAGUUUUGCUACUGUUAUGAAUUAUAAUGUAAGUAUUUGUGGAGCCAGAGAUUUGUCCAAGGGGUCACGGCUCACAGGCUGAGAACCACUGCUUUACAGGCUGCAUGAUGUAGGAGUGUCAUCUGUCUAUGUGUUACUUUCAUUGGAGGAGGAAGGAGGAGGAAUGAGAGAGAGAGAAGAAAGGAGAAAGAAGAGAUUUAAAGGUAAAGGCGUAGAGCAGUUCCCAACCUACAAGUCGGAAGCCUUCAUAUGACACCCAAGCCUCAUACUUAGGUGGAGACAUGCCCACUGAAGGCCUCACCUAGUGUGAACAACGAAAGAUUUCUGCAAAAAUCCUGAAGCCAAAUGAAUGACACAAAAAUUGUCUAUUAAUUUUAUAUUACCCACACUCUUCCCAACUCUUCCAAUAAAAGCAAUUGAUACCAAACCAGUUUGUAUAAUUGUUAUUUUCAUUCUUCUUUUGUAAUGUUUAUGCAUCAUGGAAAGAACUUGGUUGACCAGUGUUCACUGAAAGGAAAUCUCUCUCUAAAAAAAAAAA